rnacentral:lncRNA from 1 species
CGGGGUCCGGGGUAGCGGGCGCCGGGUAGCAGGUCCGGGGUAGCGGGCUCCGGGGUCGGCACUGCAGGGUGUUUAGCAGCAUUCUCUGCCUCUGAUCACAGGGUGCCAGUAGCAGAGUCCUCUCACCCCAUUGUGACAUCCAAAAUGCCUCCAUAUAUUGCCCUCUGUCUCCCGGGGGACAAAACUUGCCCUUGACUGAGAACCACUGUCCUAGGUCCAUCUCGUGCAGUUGGGCCAGAGCCUACCUCGACUCUGGGCACAGAGAAGCAAGUGCCACUCCUGGA